CAAAAUUUAUGAUAAACAUGGUCAAACGUUUCAUACUUUGUAUUUGAAAAUAAAACAUUUUGUACAUAAAAAAAAAGAAAAAACAUUUACAAAAUUUAAAAUAUAACACUUGUAAUGAUCAAACAAUAAAGUGUAUUAACAACUUUUAAUAUUUACUUUAUUAGAAUUUGGAUAAAAAGAUUAAAAUAUUAUGUCAAUAAUACUAAUAAUGAUUUUGAUUGCAAGAACGUUAAUAUUUAAGUUAAAGUAUAAAAUAUUAGAUUUUUGGUUCGGCUCUAGUCCAAAUGGGCUUGGAUCCGAAAUACACAAAGCCUAAAUAGACUUAGUCUGAAAGAUCCAAUAAUUUUGGGCUUAUAAAACUAAGCCCAAACCCGGUAAUUUUUUGGGUUGGGCGGGAUUGAACCGCGGACUCGAUGAGGCAUAUGAUGAUUCCUUAGACGUACAUAAGACAUUUUUGAAGUUGGAGAGAGAUAUGGUCAAUACCCAUAGAUAAUGACAUCAUAAGCUAAAAGAUAUAGUGAGGUGAGCAUCAUUAGCUGUGACCUUCAGGCAGACAGAGAAGGUCCACACAACACACUGCUCCAUUGCUCCAUCAAUAUGAAUGAUCAUAGUGUUUUCACCGCUAACUCAUGAACAGAAUAAUCGGGGUUUAUUUGUGAUUUGAGCAUUAUCAUUGACUAUCGAAAGAAAAAUAAUAUAAAAUCCUUAUGUACAUUAUGCUUCAUUUGACCAAACAUAUCUAAAGUGUUUCUUAAGUUUGAUAGCCUUUCUUGCAGCCUGGUUUAAAAUGGUCUCAACCUCUACAUAUUAGCAGGACCUAACGAUAAUGUACAUAACUAUAACGACAAAACCUAACCAUACAUUGAGUCCCAAAAUAUUUUAGAAAAUAUUACAUAGAAAAAUGUCUCCAAAAAGUUUUUUUAGACCUUAAAUUUACCAAAAAACAUUUUUAGCUGAAUUUUUUAAAAAAUCACUUAAAACUCCAUAAAUCUCAGAGCCGGUCCUGCAUAUUAGUCUGCACAGCUUUAUUUACAUAGUAAAAUUGUGAAUUUUGCAUAAUAAAAUUUAAAACCACAUAACAUGUAGGACUACCCCUAAUAAAUAAAGAUGUUCAUUUUCAUAGAAUACUGUGCUCAGUUACAGAAAAACCAAAAUAUAUCGUACGUAUAUGCAAACCAUUCAAUAAAAUUAAUUAGAAUAUAUUAUAUUCCAACAUAAAUUAUUUAAUUAGGUACAUCCGACCAAUAAUCUCAUUCAUUUUAUUAAACAACAAAAAUGCUUUAAUUCACUAUAAACCGGAACUAUAAGAUUUAAAGAUUCAUCUGUCCAGAAUAUAAUACCAUUCGUUCUCCAACAAUUAUGUAAUAUAUCGAUGACAAUAUUUUGAGAGAUUUUUCAUCAUAUUCAUUAACCAGUUAUUCUGAAAUGUUAUUCAAAUGGCAUAUGGCAAUGCUUAGUUCGAGGACAUUUUGAUGGGUGUAGUUGUCAUACAAAAAUAUGAAAGAUGAGGUUAUAGUUGCCAGCUGUUGUAAUUUAAGACCAAGUUGUCAGAGUAAGAUGGUCAUACUAUAGACUAGGUAGUAAUCCAACUAUGCACGGAGUGAAAUAGUUUAUUAGAUGAUUUAUUGUAUGUCGUAUUAAGGGAUUUGUUGUAUAAUUUAUUAAGGGAUGAACAUUCAUAUAUCCGUUUGGAUUCAGUUAAUCUAUUCGGAUUUCGAAUUUUAAGGGUUAGAAAUUUAAAUCGUAUUCAGAUAUUUACAAAUUUUGGUCUGGAUUUGUUUCGAAUCAUUGAAGGUUCGGUUCUGAUCUAGGUUCAGAUACCCAUUUUAAUUAUGUAUUUUUAAAAAAAAAAUCCAAAUAUACUUAAUACUAAAAUAAAAUAAUAUAAAACAUAAAAAUUUGAAUAAUAUAAGACUAAAUAUUUAAAUUACCUAAAAUAAGUUCAAUUUAAAUAUUUGGAUAGAGAACAAAUAAAUAUUUUCAGUAUUUUGAAUAUUUUCUGUUAACUUUAGAUAUUUACUUGUGACUAUGUUGAUAAUUUUUAGAUAUUUUCAUAUUUUUAAAUAUCUAAUAGAUAUAAAAUUUAAGAUAAUUAACAUAUUUAAAUAUAUAAUUGUGAUUUAGAUAUUUUUAGUAUCCAAAAUAUUUUAGUUUGGAUCAAAUUCGAGUCUGAUAAUCUGGUAUUAAACUUUUAAAUUCAUCAGAGUAACUAAUCAGUUUUAGUUUAUGUUUAGUAUUGUUUUCUAAUCUAGUUCAGUUCGGUUCUUUGGAUUCAGAUGUUUUACCCAUACUUAUUUUCUUUUACUAAUAUAAUGUAAAAUAAUUAUUCUCGGUUUAUUGAACAUACAUAAUUAUUGAUUAUACUUUAAAAAUACCAAUAAAAAUGGUUGAGAAUCGUGUCAAUAUUUGUGGGCAUGUUCUGAAAUAGACGUAGUCUAAAACCAAUAACCUGUAUUUUCUUAUAAUGUGAUCUCUUCACCCAACACUUGAAUUAUGUUUUUUAGUCGAUUUUACGAAUUUUUGUUUUCUUUUAAAACUUUUCUGAUUUCUGAUUUUUUUCUUCCAAUCUGAUUAUGUUUCUAAUUUUUUGUCUGAUAUGAAAACUCCGUAAAGAAAAAAAAAUAUUUAGCUUAAUUAAAGAUCCCACUUUGUGUGUAGUAUUUUUUACCUCAGUUUUCUUAAUUCAUAACCAAUCACAAUUAUUUAUUGCAUUCGUGUACAGAAGCCUCAACCAUGGCUAAGUUCAGCAAGAUACAAAAUUUUCAAUUUCUAAAAACAUUCACAUUCUAUCAUUUAUGAAUCUUAAUCAUUUUUAAUUUAUUUCUUUCAAAAUGAUAUUAUUCAUUAGUUGUAUGGAGAGAACUUCAGUUCACUAAUACAAAGGUUAAAAAUGCAAGAACUGAAAAAUGAACUGAUUAAAAAAAAAUUAGUGUGAACACAUUAAAUUGUUUGCGGUAGAAUCAAAAAAUUAGUAUGUGAACGCAUUAAUUGUUAAAUGAUUGUGAGACCGAAAAGUCAACAUACUUAAAUUGAAAUCAAUGUGAAGUUGACAUGUGUUCGUUCAAUAUAGUGUGAAAGCAUUAAAAGACAAUGCUUCUCUUUUAAUAUAUAGAGGAUUUUUAUUAAAAUGAUUAAGCUAGCGUAAAAAAAAACUAAGUUUUGUGAUGACUAAGACUAUUUCGGAGGCAUUGUACAUGUUUGGAAGAAUUUCUGUGUCAACAAAUCUAGGACAAAGUUUGAAUAUAAUUUUAUAAAUUCUGUUUCAAUAUCAGAAUCACGUAAAAAAAUGCUCCCGACAAAGACGGAAACGGCGAUGCUUAUGGCGAUUUAGGGCUUCAAUGGUUUCGCGACGGUGGGAACCAGGUAUUGGUGAGGGAGGCUUGAUUGAGGCAGACAAGGAUCAUGGAUAUAUGGAAUGUAGAUCUAUUUCAAAUCUCAGAGGUAUUGCGAUGGGGAUGGGAAAGAGGUUUUCAAAGGGAUUAAGGGAACAAAAUAUCAGAAAGGAUCAGACUUUGAUCAUCAUCAAGAUCAAAUUGCAAGGCUAUCAAGGUAGCUGGAGAGUUUGAUCGUACCAAACGGGGUGUAGCUGGUGAGUUCGGAUCAAGGUGCAAACUUUGUUUUAAGGAUUAUUGGAGUAAGGAGAGAAGCGGUGAGGGAUACAAAUGGGGAACCUAUGAGUUUGAAUCACUGGAACGAGAUCAAGCUAGGGGAGAAUGAAGUCUGAAUGCUGUCUCUUUAAACACAUUCAGCUUCUUUAACAACAGGCUUUCUCUUCUGCUGCAACUAGAAUUUUGCUGGUUAGUUGGGAAAGAGGCUGAUCUAGUGCAAACACUGAUUAUUGGGAUUAGGAUCUUCAUGGCAUUGAGCGGGGUAGCGGGGAGCUUCAUAGGUCGUAGGGUGAUCGACAUAUUAAGAAGGAAUUCAAGUCGGAGAUCCUUGAUUCAAAGUCAUCAAACUUCAAGGAGCAGAGGUUUUUGGGAUGAGUUAUAUGGAUGGAGGGAGACAGAGAGUUCACGGUUUUCAAUUAUAGCAAAAAUAGCAAAUGAUUUGAGUGGUGUAACUGGUUUGUUUGUUAUUAUAUUGAUGGAGCUGUGGUGUCUUAUAGAGUUUGACUUAUUUCAAAGAUCACGUUUUGGGAUACGAGGUUGUUUGGAUUGGAGGUCAUGUGGUUUUAAUGUUCAGAUUAGUGUAAAGAUUCGUCUUUUCCUAAUUUUGUUGAUAGUAGCAAGGGCUAAGUUUUUUCCUUUGUGUCAGUUUCUUGUACGUUAUGUGUUCUCUUUAAAGAACGAUAAUGGUAAAUCUUGGAAAAAUGAAUUUUUAAAGUUUUCUUGGAA